rnacentral:rRNA from 1 species
CCUGACUGCUAUCGGAUUGAUACUAAGCCAUGUGAGUCAUUGUAGCAAUACAAGGCAGACGGCUCAGUAACACGUAGCCAACCUACCCUAUGGACGGGGAUAACCUCGGGAAACUGAGGAUAAACCCCGAUAGAUCAUAAUGCCUGGAACGGUUUAUGGUCCAAAUGAUUCGUCGCCGUAGGAUGGGACUGCGGCCUAUCAGCUUGUUGGUGAGGUAAUGGCCCACCAAGGCUAUUACAGGUACGGGCUCUGAGAGGAGAAGCCCGGAGAUGGGUACUGAGACACGGACCCAGGCCCUAUGGGGCGCAGCAGGCGAGAAAACUUUGCAAUGUGCGCAAGCACGACAAGGUUAAUCCGAGUGUUUCCUGCUAAAGGAAUCUUUUGCUAGUCCUAAAAACACUAGCGAAUAAGGGGUGGGCAAGUUCUGGUGUCAGCCGCCGCGGUAAAACCAGCACCUCAAGUGGUCAGGAGGAUUAUUGGGCCUAAAGCAUCCGUAGCCUGCUUUGUAAGUUUCCGGUUAAAUCCAUUAGCUCAACUGAUGGGCCGCCGGAAAAACUGCAAAGCUAGGGAGUGGGAGAGGUAGACGGUACUCGGUAGGAAGGGGUAAAAUCCUUUGAUCUAUUGAUGACCACCUGUGGCGAAGGCGGUCUACCAGAACACGUUCGACGGUGAGGGAUGAAAGCUGGGGGAGCAAACCGGAUUAGAUACCCGGGUAGUCCCAGCUGUAAACGAUGCAGACUCGGUGAUGCACUGGCUUGUGGCCAGUGCAGUGCCGCAGGGAAGCCGUUAAGUUUGCCGCCUGGGAAGUACGUACGCAAGUAUGAAACUUAAAGGAAUUGGCGGGGGAGCACCACAAGGGGUGAAGCCUGCGGUUC